rnacentral:rRNA from 1 species
UACGUAGGGGGCAAGCGUUGUCCGGAUUUAUUGGGCGUAAAGAGCGUGUAGGCGGCCAUACAGGUCCGUUGUGAAAACUCGAGGCUUAACCUCGAGACGUCGAUGGAAACCGUAUGGCUAGAGUCCGGAAGAGGAGAGUGGAAUUCCUGGUGUAGCGGUGAAAUGCGCAGAUAUCAGGAAGAACACCCGUGGCGAAGGCGGCUCUCUGGGACGGUACUGACGCUGAGACGCGAAAGCGUGGGGAGCAAACAGA